CACUUCUUGAAGGUGAACUCUGGUCACAUGGAGGCACAAGAAGACUUCGCUUAAAAUGAGCAAGUGUUAGUGACGUUCCAACAAUUGCAAAGGUGACAUCUUAGAGAAACAACUGGAUGGUCUGGGCUAUAAGCAGCAGGAAGCACCAUUUAUGGAGAGAUCACCUCCUGACUCCUCCAACCACCCACUUUUAACAUAAGACAUGUGUCACCAAGGGAGGAGUCUAGAGAGCCGUGCUAUCAAGAGUCAGAGCACCAUUCACCCCCUUUAAACAUUUCACCAUCGCC
rnacentral:lncRNA from 1 species